GAGGAUCUAAAGAUCUUCAGAAAUAAAAGCUCCUAAUUUCUUGCCGUGAAUCUGAAGAAGAACAGCUGUCAGACAUUUCUUGUGCAUCCUGUGCUCCUGGACAGACCACGUCACACUGCAGGUAGCGUUGCUGGCUCUUCAUUCUGGGCUUCCCACGGAAUAAUUCCUAUGGCACCAGCAACAUCAGUCCUUCAGCUACACCAAAUAAUCUCGUGAGAAGAACAGAAAGAGGUUUGGACCAAGGCAGCUCCCAAAUCACUUUCAAAACAGCAGAUUCCAGAGCCACAGGCGCUCCAGCGAUCUCAGUGCACCAGCCACCAGCAGCUCACUGGGCUGCACAGUGAAGGACACAUCCAAGGGUUACGUGACUUGGAGAUCUCUAUCCGUGAUGAAACAAAGAGGAGCAGCAAGUAACCUUUUGGCCGCAAGCACAUUUCUUCUUGAAAUGUUAUCAGAAGACUGCUAGAAAAGCACUCCAUCUACUUGACUGGCAAAAGCGAGCAACAUCGACACCUACUGUCGGAUAUUUUAAUUGCUGAUAGUACCAAACCAUUGACUUAAGAUUCUUGUCUACGAUUUCUUCCAGGAGAAGAUGCUCUCCUUAGUUAAAACUACAUGAUGAUA